rnacentral:rRNA from 1 species
GACGAACGCUGGCGGCGUGCUUAACACAUGCAAGUCGAACGGAAAGGCCCUGCUUGCAGGGUGCUCGAGUGGCGAACGGGUGAGUAACACGUGGGUGAUCUGCCCCUUACUUUGGGAUAAGCCUGGGAAACUGGGUCUAAUACUGGAUAGGACCAUGCUGUAGGUGGUGUGGUGGAAAGAUUAGUUUCGGUAAGGGAUGAGCUCGCGGCCUAUCAGCUUGUUGGUGGGGUAAUGGCCUACCAAGGCGUCGACGGGUAGCCGGCCUGAGAGGGUGGACGGCAACAUUGGGACUGAGAUACGGCCCAGACUCCUACGGGAGGCAGCAGUGGGGAAUAUUGCACAAUGGGCGCACGCCUGAUGCAGCGACGCCGCGUGGGGGAUGACGGCCUUCGGGUUGUAAACUCCUUUCAGCCAUGACGAAGCCCUUGUGGUGACGGUAGUGGUAGAAGAAGCACCGGCUAACUACGUG